rnacentral:rRNA from 1 species
UGGGGAAUAUUGCACAAUGGGGGAAACCCUGAUGCAGCGACGCCGCGUGAGCGAAGAAGGUUUUCGAAUCGUGAAGCUCUGUCCUAUGAGAAGAUAAUGACGGUAUCAUAGGAGGAAGCCCCGGCUAAAUACGUGCCAGCAGCCGCGGUAAUACGUAUGGGGCGAGCGUUGUCCGGAAUUAUUGGGCGUAAAGGGUACGUAGGCGGUCUAUUAAGUCAGGUGUGAAAGCGUGAGGCUUAACCUCAUUAAGCACUUGAAACUGAUAGACUUGAGUGAAGGAGAGGAAAGUGGAAUUCCUAGUGUAGCGGUGAAAUGCGUAGAUAUUAGGAGGAAUACCGGUGGCGAAGGCGACUUUCUGGACUUUUACUGACGCUCAGGUACGAAAGCGUGGGGAGCAAACAGG